CCUACGGGAGGCAGCAGUAAGGAAUAUUGGUCAAUGGACGCAAGUCUGAACCAGCCAUGCCGCGUGCAGGAUGAAGGCCCUCUGGGUUGUAAACUGCUUUUAUAGGGGACGAAAAGGGACUUUCUAGUUCAACUGACGGUACCCUAGGAAUAAGCACCGGCUAACUCCGUGCCAGCAGCCGCGGUAAUACGGAGGGUGCAAGCGUUAUCCGGAUUUACUGGGUUUAAAGGUGCGUAGGUGGGUCGGUAAGUCAGCGGUGAAAUCUUCAAGCUUAACUUGGAAACUGCCAUUGAUACUAUCGAUCUUGAAUCAUCUGGAGUAAGCGGAAUAUGUCAUGUAGCGGUGAAAUGCUUAGAUAUGACAUAGAACACCAAUUGCGAAGGCAGCUUACUACGGAUGUAUUGACACUGAGGCACGAAAGCGUGGGGAUCAAACAGGAUUAGAUACCCUGGUAGUCCACGCCCUAAACGAUGGAUACUCGACAUACGUGAUAUACCUAUGUNUGUUNUGNGNGAGANAUAAUAUACCACCUCGAGUACGAGCGCGAGAGUAGAAGUACAAUAGAAGUAGUAGACGUAGAGACGAGCGACGGACGACGACGAGGGAGGUAGGAG
rnacentral:rRNA from 1 species